rnacentral:lncRNA from 1 species
AUUUCCCCACGAGCUCAGGCGCAUCCUUUCCCCUUUUACUCUCUUUUCUCUUAUCCGCCUAAACCCAUCAAUCUCAAAUCCUCGCACAAAUCUAUGCAAAGUCUACUGAUACAAACUCAAAUCAUCUCUUUUGCCUCCUGAGCCGCGAAUCUCACUGAUUCCUUUCUAAUUCCACCGAUAAAAUUCAAAUCACCUAAAAUCCGAAACCGUAGCUAAAAAAUAAAACUUCAAAUCGUUCAAUUUAUCUUAUGUUCAAUCAAUCCGUAGCAUGCAUGGAGUUUUUUUAGAGUUUCAUUAUGAGAAUUAGAUACCCAGAGGUCAAACGCAAUGACCUAUGGGUUUUAGAGCCUUAUCCGAUGAUUUUAUUAUUUUUCCCUCUGCCUUCUCUGAUUUUACUUGCUUUGCUUCCAUCAUCCCAUAUUCAUCAUCUUCCACUCACCAUUUCAAAUAUGUUGGAACCAUAGUCAUUGAAUGACAUUAUAAAUAGAUCCUUCAAUGCUCUCAACUAAUAGGACUUAACACGAAUACAAAGCAACAUACACUAAGAAUCACCUCACAAUUGAACACUUAGGUUUUUAACUGAUUUCUCAUUUUCUUCCUUUCUUUCCGGCUCUGAGUUCAUUCACUAUUCAAGGUUUGAGAUUUUAAUUCCUAAGAGGCAAAAACAAAAGACUUUGUUUGGUUUACUGCUCCGAAGAAGGUUAGUGUGUACUUACCCCUCUCCUUCUUUGACUGUUUGAGCUAUAAUCAUUCUCACUAUGUUGUGUUUAUUGUUUAUAUCUGCUUAAUGAUGUAUUCUAAUAAGCGUAUCAUGCCUUAACAUUGGAUGUUAUCUUCAUUGUAUGAGCCAACUGCUUUCACUGAUAGUUUGAAAUUAUGUUAAUGUUAGUCGAUUAUCCUAUGAACUUAAUAAUCCUAAAUGUUUCUCUAAGUUUAACAAAUCUAGUUUUUUGCUGAAUCUCUAUUGUAAAUAAAAGGAUUUAAUCUCCACAUAGGUUUUAUCAAAAUUAUACUAUUGCUAUGAUCCUAAGUCUCUUUUGAUGCCUUGUUGAAUGUUUUGUGUCUACUCUCCUGAUAUUGUAUUAGAAGUACCACUUGCUGAUCUACACUCAAUUUGUCUACCUUAAUAAUAUUGGGACUAUGUUAGUUGUGUACACUUAUAGGUUCAACACAAGUUUGGUAUCAUGAUUAUCAAUUUAGUUUUUAGUUUCUUUGCUAUUCAAGUGUAUCAUGAAAUUCUAUGGCUCUUUAAAGCACUAUAAAGGUCUCUUAUUAAUUUUCACAUUUAUGUGCCUGCUUAGCUACACUUAUAGACUCUACUGGGUAAAUGUCUUCUAAAAAGUAAUUAAACUAAGUCUUAAUGAGUUCAUGUGGUUAGUUUAAAGGCUGUGAUGACUCCAUAUGUAUUCUGCCUGUUGUUACCAUGUUAACUAGCCUAAUGCAGACUAUGUUCUUAACUGUCCUUUAGAGUUUGGUCACGAGUUAUACUUGCUGCCUUAUCAUCUCUUGGAUUAGCUAUACUGUCAUCAUGUCUAAAAGAUUUAACUUCAUUAGGAUGCCUAUGUUGACACACCUGCCUGCAAAUCUACGUUGAUUGAUCUAUCACUGGAACCACAUCUAUCUAAUACAUGUAAAACCUGCAUGUUUCUUGUGUUUUGGACCUUUAUAAUGAAAAAAAUAAUAUGAUCCUAGAUCAGCUGCUCUUCUGCUGUACUCUAUAACCUUGCAGUCCUUUAGGAAAAGAAUUUGUAUGUAUUUGAAUAUCCCAUGUCAUGCCUUUGCUUCUAAUUGUCUGUUAAUAUACUCAGUGUUUGUCUUUCAUUGAAGAGACAUUCAUGUCGGUGCUCUCAUGUUUCUUACAUAAAGAAGAAGUUGAAUCUUGUUAACAACAUAAGAUUCCGAAUAUAAAAAAACUGUGAUCACUACUGAAUUUGAGGGAAACUUACUGAUGUUUUCCUGCCUGUUUGAAUACUAUACUGUAUUUAUAUGAAUGUCUUGACUCUUAAUAACUUAGUGUGAAUCUGAGAUUGUGGACUUGAAAGGGUGAGUGAUCAUGUUAUUACCUUGGAUUAGGAUUAAGAUUGACCUGCUACCUACAUAAGUAUAUUUAUUAAUACUCUUUAAAAAUUCUGAAUAGGGUUGUUAAUUCAUACAUCUAAUAGAAGUGAGGAUUUAACCCGUGUGUGAACCUAUGAUUGAUCUGAACAUAGUGUAAUAGUUGUUGAAGUGCUAUGAAUUUAAUUAAGAACUCCUGCAAACUUGAACCUGUCAGUAGGAUUAAUAAGGUUGAUAUAUAUGUCUUUUCUACCCCGUGAAUCACUUGACUAAGUAUUUGAUAGUCUAAACUAGUCUACUGAUGUUUGCCUCUCCUUGUUUACAUCUAUAGUUGGUUCCUUUGGGUAUUAUUAUGCACAUUGAAUGUAUUGACAGUGGACUACACUCUUUUGUUUGGAUUGUGACCUCAAAAAUCAAUAAUAUAAUCUGGUAUUUUAUACUUAUAAUGUGGAAAUCAUGUAUACUCGAAUCUGUGUGCUACUACAUUAGUUGUCACAAUGAAUUCCUCAUUGGAAACUAAACUUGUAAGGAGGAGUGAGUGUGAGUGGUUAAGGGAUUUUCUUGUAGAAUCUAAUUUGUGGUUGAGAUUUCCUCCCUGACACAAGCACUGCUCGGGGUCCCUGAAACCCUUGUGAACUCUGAAGUGCUAGGGAUCCAAAGGGUGUAUUACCUAUGAAUGAGAUUUUUCCCUAAUCUCCUAAAUAUUGACACUUACUAAUCUCUUUAGGAUUAUAUUAAUUUAAAAAGGCUUCAGUGUGAUAAUUAUUUUGCUUACUCUAUUUGGGCCUUACAUGUCAUUACUAUGUCUUUAAUUACAAUAUUUGUUAUUGCUUAUUGGGCCUCAUGUAACAUUACUAAUAUCUCUCUUCUCUUUUGCAUAUGUGAUCAUAGUGGGCCUAUUGAUAUCUCAAAAACUCAGGACCAAGUUCUAGCCUAAAGUAUCCAAGUCGCUGAAGCUUGCCGAAGUUGUUCUAAAUUUGUCGGGCCAACAUUUCUUUUAGGCCCAAAUACUGACUCCAGUUCCCGUUCCUUCCUCAUUAUUAGAUGAACUGAAUCUGUUAUCUAUUUUUUUUUACAUGUGUAUGACAUUAACGAUAUUGAUUGAAUGUGUAUAUCCCCUUAAGCCAUUUAGGAAUCUCGGCAAGCCAAGAUCUAUAGGUAAUAAAAAGGAAUCACUGUUGCAUUACAAUUAGCUAUAAAAUUUCGG